rnacentral:tRNA from 1 species
GGUUAUAGCUCAGUGGUAGAGUACUUACCUAGCAUGUAAAAGGCUUUGGGUUCAACCCCCAGAACUG